AUGUGUGUGUGUGUGUGUGUGUGUGUGUGUGUGUGUGUGUGUGUGUGUGUGUGUGUGUGUGUGUGUGUGUGUGUGUGUGUGUGUGUGUGUCUGGAGAACGUGGAGUGUGAUAUUAAGGAACUAACCUAUUAUAUGUGUGUGUGUGUGUGUGUGUCAGUGUCUCUGCAGAGCGUGGAGUGUGAUAUUAAUGUAACUAACCUAUUAUAUUGUGUGUGUGUGUGUGUGUGUGUGUCAGUGUCCCUGGAGAACGUGGAGUCUGAUAUUAAGGAACUAACCUAUUAUAGUGUGUGUGUCAGUGUCC
rnacentral:lncRNA from 8 species